rnacentral:misc_RNA from 1 species
GAUGAAGAACGCAGUGAAAUGCGAUAAGUAAUGUGAAUUGCAGAAUUCAGUGAAUCAUCGAAUCUUUGAACGCACAUUGCGCCCGCCAGUAUUCUGGCGGGCAUGCCUGUUCGAGCGUCAUUUCAACCAUCAAGCCCCAGGCUUGUGUUGGGGACCUGCGGCUGCCGCAGGCCCUGAAAACCAGUGGCGGGCUCGCUGUCACACCGGGCGUAGUAGAUUUUAUCUCGCUCAGGGCGUGCUGCGGGUUCCGGCCGUUAAAAAGCCUUUUUUACCCAAGGUUGACCUCGGAUCAGGUAGGAAGACCCGCUGAACUUAAGCAUAUCAAUAACGGAGGA